GAUGAACGCUGGCGGCGUGCCUAAUACAUGCAAGUCGAGCGAAUGGAUUAAGAGCUUGCUCUUAUGAAGUUAGCGGCGGACGGGUGAGUAACACGUGGGUAACCUGCCCAUAAGACUGGGAUAACUCCGGGAAACCGGGGCUAAUACCGGAUAACAUUUUGAACCGCAUGGUUCGAAAUUGAAAGGCGGCUUCGGCUGUCACUUAUGGAUGGACCCGCGUCGCAUUAGCUAGUUGGUGAGGUAACGGCUCACCAAGGCAACGAUGCGUAGACGACCUGAGAGGGUGGUCGGCCGCACUGGGACUGGGACACGGCCCAGACGCCUACGGGAGGCAGCAGUAGGGAAUCUUCCGCAAUGGACGAAAGGCUGACGGAACAACGCCGCGUGAGUGAUGAAGGCUUUCGGGUCGUAAAACUCUGUUGUUAGGGAAGAACAAGUGCUAGUUGAAUAAGCUGGCACCUUGACGGUACCUAACCAGAAAGCCACGGCUAACUACGUGCCAGCCGCCGCAGUAA
rnacentral:rRNA from 1 species